UCUGGAGGCAUCUUGUUGCCACUUAGCAAACCCCGACCCUUAGAGCAUGACAUCAGCUGAGCAACAAAGACAGAGAGGACAGGUUCCUGACAGAGACAAGACAUUGGUUCGAAUCUGUUCCGCUGCGCAGUAACCAACAGGGACAUUUGCCUUAGGGUCGCUCUUCCUUCGCCUCUUUGAAUGUUUUAAAAAAAAAUUACUGUUGUUGUUAUCUUUAGUUCGGGGAAACUUUUGGAUGCUUUCCAGGCUGCGGCUAUAGAAGUUUCCAGGAAAAUGGAAAAGCAGCAUUAGUGUUUUGGACCUGUCUGGGUCGUGGGCUAGACGUGUUGUUUUUAUUUUUUAUUUUAAUUUUUUUUAGAAUGCAUGCAAUAAGGGCAGCCAGGUCCUGUGAGAGAAGCCAGCAAGGCAGAAGGGCCUAAGAGCAUCCUAAAGCCCAGAGACAAACGUGGAGUUUAGCUGACCUUCCUCUUCUUGAGCCGCAGUCACAAUUGUGGGUUGACACUUCAGGUGUUGGGUGUGGAGGGAAGUGAGAACUUCAAGCCCAAGCCAUCGGAGAGGCAGGUGGGCCAGGGAAACAGUCUUGGGUGUUCACAUUUUAGAAACUUGUAGCCCACAUCAGAAGGCUACAAAUCAGUGAGCCAGGUCCCAAGGUGGCAGGGCCCAUUAUAGACAGAAGGACAGGGUAUGUCUUGGUUCUAAGAAGCAUGCACCAUGCACCGUGCUUCAAGAGCAAAGAGACAGACAAAGUCAGAGAGUCCCAUGUAAAGUCAGAGCUGCAUCAGGAGGGGAAGAAUCAGGUUUUUGCAAAGCAGCUCCUCCUUGCCUGCUCAGGGUUUCUCUGUGUAGCCCUGGCUGUCCUGGAACUCAUUCUGUAGACCAGGCUGUCCUUGGACUCACAGAGUUCCGCCUAACUCUGCCUCCCACCACCACCUGAGCAUAUGUUCAGUUUUUACCUCUAUCUUAUAAGUGAGAAAGCUGAGACUUAAUGAUUAAGGAACUGAACUCAGAACACACACAACUGGUAGGUGGUAAGCCAUGUUUGAACUCAGGGUUAAUUUUGCAGACAGACCUGGGUUUGAGUCCUGAUUCAUGAGACAUAUGAUUCAGCCAAGCUUGUGUACAGCCAGGUGUUCUCAGCUGAUUUCAUAUGUUUAAUUUAUCCAGUGGAAUGUUGGCCAUUUCCUAUAACUAGCAGAAAGCUUUGUUACAACUUUGCUGUAGGAAUUAAAUAGAAACGUGCUUCCAUCUGGUAGAGUGGCUACAAUACAGCAAGCACUCAGUAGACACCUGAGCACCCCUGUGCUCAUCUUUGUACAGCAUUAUGUAAGCCUUCCUAUGAUCCUACACAGGUAGGUGGACUGCUCUUAGUUCAGUGGGACCUGGUGUCAAUGCCAGGCAGGUGCCUUCCUGUUCUUACAGUAUCUGACCUUGGACAGAGUCUCCUUUCUGCUUUAACCCCUCCUGGGUCCGUUACAGUGUUUCCCCCAACCAUGCAUUGCAGACCACUUUACCUGCCUGCUUAACAAUCUUCCAGAGUCCUCAGCCUGGAGCACGGGGCUUCUGGGAAACCUCCUGCAAUUCUUUCUGUUUUCCCUCCUCCUCCUGACCUCACUACUUUUCUACUUUUUUUUUGUUUUUUUG
rnacentral:lncRNA from 1 species